rnacentral:rRNA from 1 species
CCGCCGGCGACCGGCGCACGGGUGAGUAACACGUAUGCAACCUGGCCGUGACAGAUGGAUAACCGGGAGAAAUCCCGCCUAAUACAACAUAAUGCCGGGAGGGGACAUCCCCUGCCGGCCAAAGGGGGCGACCCCGGUCACGGAUGGGCAUGCGGCGCAUUAGGUAGUUGGUGGGGCAACGGCCCACCAAGCCGACGAUGCGUAGGGGUUCUGGGAGGAAGGUCCCCCACAUUGGAACUGAGACACGGUCCAAACUCCUACGGGAGGCAGCAG